rnacentral:rRNA from 1 species
UACGAAGGGGGCUAGCGUUGCUCGGAAUUACUGGGCGUAAAGGGCGCGUAGGCGGACAGUUUAGUCAGAGGUGAAAGCCCAGGGCUCAACCUUGGAAUUGCCUUUGAUACUGGCUGUCUUGAGUUCGGGAGAGGUGAGUGGAAUGCCGAGUGUAGAGGUGAAAUUCGUAGAUAUUCGCAAGAACACCAGUGGCGAAGGCGGCUUACUGGUCCGGAACUGACGCUGAGGUGCGAAGCGUGGGGAGCAAACAGG